AACGCACAUUGCGCCCCUUGGUAUUCCGAGGGGCAUGCCUAUUCGAGCGUCAUUAUCACCCCUCAAGCUCCGGCUUGGUGUUGAGGCCUGCCGUCAAGGCACCCUCUAAAAUCAGUGGCAGUGCCGUCAGGCUCUAAGCGUAGUAAUUUCAUCGCUAUAGACCCGGGCGGACCCUCGCCAGAACCCCCCAUUUUUUAAUGAUUGACCUCGGAUUAGGUAGGGAUACCCGCUGAACUUAA
rnacentral:misc_RNA from 1 species